rnacentral:rRNA from 1 species
UACGAGGGGGGCAAGCGUUGUUCGGAAUUAUUGGGCGUAAAGGGCGCGUAGGCGGUGCGGUAAGUCUGAUGUGAAAUCUCCGGGCUCAACUCGGAGUCUGCAUCAGAAACUGCCGUGCUCGAGUGUGGGAGAGGUGAGUGGAAUUCCCGGUGUAGCGGUGAAAUGCGUAGAUAUCAAGUGGAACACCAGUGGCGAAGGCGAGUCUCUGGACAAUUCCUGACGCUGAGGCAUGAAAGCCAGGGGAGCAAACGGG